ACUGGUUCUCAGCCUUUCAUCUAAGAUAGAGCUCAAUAUUUGUUGUUUUCAGUUUCAUAUGUGAUGCAUCCUCUAUCUAAGAACAAUACAUCAAAUGGAUUUCAGGAGUAAGGAGACGAAAUGGGAGCUUGCCCCAUCCAUUCUAUGCAUCAACUUGGUACUCUAGUAUUUCUAGGGAUGGCACAAAAAUU
ensembl:snRNA U2 U2 spliceosomal RNA